UACGAGUGGCCCAAGCGUUAUCCGGAAUUAUUGGGCGUAAAGGAUGUGUAGGUGGUUAUAUUAGUCUCGUGUCUAACCUCUCGGCUCAACCGGGAGACAGCACUGGAAACGGUAUGACUAGAGUAUGUUAGGGGUAAGCGGAACUCAUAGUGUAGGGGUGAAAUCCGUUGAUAUUAUGGGGAACACCAAAAGCGAAGGCAGCUUACUGGAACAUUACUGACACUGAAACAUGAAAGCGUGGGUAGCGAAUGGG
rnacentral:rRNA from 1 species